rnacentral:rRNA from 1 species
AGAGUUUGAUCAUGGCUCAGAAUCAACGCUGGCGGCGUGCCUAACACAUGCAAGUCGAACGCGAAAGUGGAGCAAUCCAUGAGUAGAGUGGCAAACGGGUGAGUAACACGUGGGUGACCUGCCUUCGAGCGGGGGAUAACGUCCCGAAAGGGACGCUAAUACCGCAUAACAUCCUGCCUUUUAAGAGGUGGAGAUCAAAGCCGGGGAUCGCAAGACCUGGCACUUGAAGAGGGGCCCGCGCCUGAUUAGCUAGUUGGUGGGGUAAUGGCUCACCAAGGCAACGAUCAGUAUCCGGCCUGAGAGGGCGGACGGACACACUGGGACUGAGACACGGCCCAGACUCCUACGGGAGGCAGCAGUGGGGAAUUGUUCGCAAUGGGCGCAAGCCUGACGACGCAACGCCGCGUGGAGGAUGAAGACCUUCGGGUCGUAAACUCCUUUCGAUCGAGACGAAUGGUUUCCGGGUGAACAAUCCGGAGAAAUGACGGUACCGAGAGAAGAAGCCCCGGCUAACUCCGUGCCAGCAGCCGCGGUAAUACGGGGGGGGCAAGCGUUGUUCGGAAUUACUGGGCGUAAAGGGCUCGUAGGUGGCCAACUAAGUCAGACGUGAAAUCCCUCAGCUUAACUGGGGAACUGCGUCUGAUACUGGAUGGCUUGAGUUUGGGAGAGGGAUGCGGAAUUCCAGGUGUAGCGGUGAAAUGCGUAGAUAUCUGGAGGAACACCGGUGGCGAAGGCGGCAUCCUGGACCAAUACUGACACUGAGGAGCGAAAGCCAGGGGAGCAAACGGGAUUAGAUACCCCCGUAGUCC